GGCUUUUCGAAUCCGUGCUGAGAUUUUGUCAGACACCAACUCAUUAGGGUUGAUCGAACUUACAAGAUAAGUGAAGUU
rfam:Schistosoma curassoni strain Dakar, Senegal genome assembly, scaffold: SCTD_contig0028283